UACAGAGAGGGCAAGCGUUGUCCGGAAUGACUGGGCGUAAAGCGCACGUAGGCGGCUUUCUAAGUCGGGGGUGAAAUCCUGGAGCUCAACUCCAGAACUGCCUUCGAUACUGGAAAGCUCGAGUCCGGGAGAGGUGAGUGGAACUGCGAGUGUAGAGGUGAAAUUCGUAGAUAUUCGCAAGAACACCAGUGGCGAAGGCGGCUCACUGGCCCGGUACUGACGCUGAGGUGCGAAAGCGUGGGGAGCAAACAGG
rnacentral:rRNA from 1 species